rnacentral:rRNA from 1 species
UACGGAGGGUGCAAGCGUUAUCCGGAUUCACUGGGUUUAAAAGGUGCGUAGGUGGGUUGGUAAGUCAGUGGUGAAAUCCCCGAGCUUAACUUGGGAACUGCCAUUGAUACUAUCAGUCUUGAAUACCGUGGAGGUCAGCGGAAUAUGUCAUGUAGCGGUGAAAUGCUUAGAUAUGACAUAGAACACCAAUUGCGAAGGCAGCUGGCUACACGAAUAUUGACACUGAGGCACGAAAGCGUGGGGAUCAAACAGG